AAGAAAUCAAUUGAAUUGAAUUAUAAUAAAAUUUUGGUUUCCAAACAGGGUGAAUUUGUGAAAUAAUUCAACUAUUUUAUGCUUGGAAAAAAUUAUUUUAAAAGAAAUAGAAAUCAUGCCAAAAAAAUAUGAUUGUGUGAAAUUUGAAUUGAAUUUUUUUUUGGCGAAUUAUUUUUUCCAAAUUUAGCCAACAGCGUUUAACGUGGGAUCUAUUUGGGCUUUAUAACCCUGUACUGCUUUAUGUUUGCACAGUUGUUUGCAUGAAAACUCAUUUUAACCAAAGCUUAUAAGCGAUCAAAAUAAAACAGUGGUUGGAUGAUGGAUCGCGGGUGUACUACAAGUUACUUGCAGUUCUUUUUAAAGAAGUGCUAAGCAUGUAUAGUGUCUGUUUGGGUGUUACACGACAUGUUUUCUUGUCAAAUAACAUAUAUAUGUGCCACUGCAGUCACAGUGUGAAUGCUAGCAUCCUCUCUUUCUCUCUCUUCAUUAGUUGGCCGUUCUGGCAUAAUUUUGGGGUCACUCGACAUAUACCUGCUUAUCUAAUGUGAUGUGGCAUUACUUGAGGGUAUUUUCCCAUAGAAUAUGCCCUCUCUAAUUUUAUAGUUGCUGUUGUUUCCAAAAAUGCAGG
rnacentral:misc_RNA from 1 species